GAUGAACGCUGGCGGCGUGCCUAAUACAUGCAAGUCGAGCGAAUGGAUUAAGAGCUUGCUCUUAUGAAGUUAGCGGCGGACGGGUGAGUAACACGUGGGUAACCUGCCCAUAAGACUAGGAUAACUCCGGGAAACCGGGGCUAAUACCGGAUAACAUUUUGAAUCGCAUGGUUCGAAAUUGAAAGGCGGCUUCGGCUGUCACUUAUGGAUGGUACCACGUCGCAUUAGCUAGGUGGUGAGGUACCGGCACACCAAGGCAACGAUGCGUAGCCGACCUGGGAGGGUGAUACGCCACACGGGGACUGAGACACUGCCCAGACUCCUACGGGAGGCAGCAGUAGGGAAUCUUCCGCAAUGGACGAAAGUCUGACGGAGCAACGCCGCGUGAGUGAUGAAGGCUUUCGGGUCGUAAAACUCUGUUGUUAGGGAAGAACAAGUGCUAGUUGAAUAAGCUGGCACCUUGACGGUACCUAACCAGAAAGCCACGGCUAACUACGUGCCAGCAGCCGCCGUAA
rnacentral:rRNA from 1 species